rnacentral:rRNA from 1 species
UACAGAGGUCUCAAGCGUUGUUCGGAUUCAUUGGGCGUAAAGGGCGCGUAGGCGGCGGGGUAAGUCGGGUGUGAAAUCUCAGAGCUCAACUCUGAAACUGCACUCGAUACUGCUCUGCUUGAGGACUGGAGAGGAGACUGGAAUUCACGGUGUAGCAGUGAAAUGCGUAGAUAUCGUGAGGAAGACCAGUGGCGAAGGCGGGUCUCUGGUCAGUUCCUGACGCUGAGGCGCGAAGGCCUGGGGAGCAAACGGG